UACGAAGGGGGCUAGCGUUGCUCGGAAUCACUGGGCGUAAAGCGCACGUAGGCGGGUCCUUAAGUCAGGGGUGAAAUCCCGGAGCUCAACUCCGGAACUGCCUUUGAUACUGGGGAUCUUGAGUCCGGAAGAGGUGAGUGGAACUCCGAGUGUAGAGGUGAAAUUCGUAGAUAUUCGGAAGAACACCAGUGGCGAAGGCGACUUCCUGGCCUGUUCUUGACGCUGAGGCGCGAAAGCUAGGGUAGCAAACGGG
rnacentral:rRNA from 1 species